UUGUGGUUGCAUUACAAGCA
rnacentral:misc_RNA from 1 species